rnacentral:lncRNA from 1 species
AUGUGUCUGUCGACGCUGUCGUGGUCGUCUAGAUCAUAGUAGGCCCUUUGGACGUCGACAAAGGUCGGCGGGCGGUGGUGGCCGCCCACGGCUUCGAUGCCAGCCGGACCGAGCGACGACCACAGGGCCUCGUACGCCGCGGCCACCACGUCCCACACCGUAGUGGGUGACCUUUGGUUCCACUGGUCAGCCAUGCGAUUCAGGCGCGUUGCGGAAAACAUGGACUCGGCAAACAGCCUCUGGGACUCGGCGUCGGGCGCCCACGCCGACCCGCGCAAGAGCGCGGCCACCAUGGGCGGGUCCCACGCGGGACCGCCGUCGACCUUGGCGCGCGACGGUCUGGGCGCGAUGUCGUCGCUGUCGUCUUGGCCGUCGCUGUCGCCACAAGACGAGCCCGUCGAGAGUUGCAACGCAAGAUCGUCCAACGUGCGCUUCAUCAGAAAAGGACGACAACGCUGCCCGCAAAAAAGGCAACAACUUUUGUUCUUUUCGUCGGCCGCGCGGUUGUCUCACAAAACCGAUACGUACCGCGGCGCCGUGAGCGCGCCGCUUUUGUCCUCGUCAGUGUCGACAAGCCACCCGCUUUUUGUUGACUACUGC